GGUGGCUCAGUGGUAGAGCGCUUCCCUUGCAUGCAUGAGGACCUGGGUUCGAUUCCCCAGCACCA
rnacentral:tRNA from 1 species